rnacentral:rRNA from 1 species
GAUGAACGCUGGCGGCGUGCCUAAUACAUGCAAGUCGAGCGAACAGACGAGGAGCUUGCUCCUCUGACGUUAGCGGCGGACGGGUGAGUAACACGUGGAUAACCUACCUAUAAGACUGGGAUAACUUCGGGAAACCGGAGCUAAUACCGGAUAAUAUAUUGAACCGCAUGGUUCAAUAGUGAAAGACGGUUUUGCUGUCACUUAUCGAUGGAUCCGCGCCGCAUUAGCUAGUUGGUAAGGUAACGGCUUACCAAGGCAACGAUGCGUAGCCGACCUGAGAGGGUGAUCGGCCACACUGGAACUGAGACACGGUCCAGACUCCUACGGGAGGCAGCAGUAGGGAAUCUGCCGCAAUGGGCGAAAGCCUGACGGAGCAACGCCGCGUGAGUGAUGAAGGUCUUCGGAUCGUAAAACUCUGUUAUUGGGGAAGAACAAAUGUGUAAGUAACUAUGCACGUCUUGACGGUACCUAAUCAGAAAGCCACGGCUAACUACGUG